rnacentral:rRNA from 1 species
AUUUAACGCUGGCGGCAGGCCUAACACAUGCAAGUCGAGCGGAGCUGCGGACGGGUGAGUAAUGACGAGGAAUCAGCCUGGUAGUGGGGGACAACGUCCGGAAACGUGCGCUACUACCGCAUACUAUCAGAUGAGCCUAGGUUGUAUUAGCUAGUUGGUGGGGUAAAGGCCUACCAAGGCGACGAUCCGUCACUGGUCUGAGAGGAUGAUCAGUCAACCUGGAACUGAGAAACGGUCCAGACGCCGACGGGAGGCAGAAGUAGGGAAUAGUGGACAAUGGGCGAAAGCCUGAUCCAGACAUGCCGCGUGUGUGAAGAAGGUCUUCGGAUUGUAAAGCACUUUAAGUUGGGAGGCGUUACCAACAGAGUAAGCACCGGCUAACGUCGUGCCAGCAGCCGCGGUAAUUC